rnacentral:rRNA from 1 species
GCGUUGUCCGGAUUACUGGGCGUAAAGAGUUCGUAGGCGGUUUGUCGCGUCGUUUGUGAAAACAAGCAGCUCAACUGCUGGCUUGCAGGCGAUACGGGCAGACUUGAGUACUGCAGGGGAGACUGGAAUUCCUGGUGUAGCGGUGAAAUGCGCAGAUAUCAGGAGGAACACCGGUGGCGAAGGCGGGUCUCUGGGCAGUAACUGACGCUGAGGAACGAAAGCGUGGGUAGCGAACAGGAUUAGAUACCCUGGUAGUCCACGCCGUAAACGGUGGGCGCUAGGUGUGGGUUCCUUCCACGGAAUCCGUGCCGUAUCUAACGCAUUAAGCGCCCCGCCUGGGGAGUACGGCCACAAGGCUAAAACUCAAAGGAAUUGACUGGGGCUNUUUANNCGGCGGAACAUGUGGAUUAAUUUNNNGGNGAGCAAAAAA